UCGAGAAUUUUUCACAAUGGGGGAAACCCUGAUGGAGCGACGCCGCGUGGAGGACGAAGGUCUUCGGAUUGUAAACUCCUGUCAUGCGGGAACAAGAAAGUGAUAGUACUGCAAGAGGAAGAGACGGCUAACUCUGUGCCAGCAGCCGCGGUAAUACAGAGGUCUCAAGCGUUGUUCGGAUUCAUUGGGCGUAAAGGGUGCGUAGGUGGCGUGGAAAGUUGAGUGUGAAAUCCUAGGGCUUAACCUUAG
rnacentral:rRNA from 1 species